UUUGCCAAAUAUUGCCUCCUAGUCACGUUUGUCGUGUCUGACCAAGGACCUUCCAGAUCUAUAAUGGGGUAGAUGGAUCUGAAUGGAUCUUCAAAAAACCCCUAAAACAAACAAAAAAAUCAAAAAACGAAAAGGUUAAAAAAUAUUUAGAGUCAUUUCCUAUGAAGCACGGGGACGUCAAAUUGAUUGACGUAUCCGUACCGGAGACGUUUCCGGGACGGAGACACUUCGGAGACGGCACGGGGACACUUUGGAGACUGAACGGUUAAUUAUGGAAAUUUUCUGAACAUAUUUGCUUUGCUAUUAUCCUUUCUUAAGCUUAUUCACUUACUUUUCUUCCAAAUAAAACAUAAAAAGUAGAAGUUUAUACUAGAUUUUGAAUUUAUAACCUACUUUCUAAUCUUUUUAGUUAUAGUGAUAUAUUUUUAUUUUUCAGUAUAUAAAUAUACAUAUAUAUAUUUUUAUUGAUAUACAUUUGCCAUACCCGUACCCAUAAUUUUUUAGUUUUACCGUUUCUUGUCCCCGCUUCCGUACCCGCAUCUGUCCCCGUAUCCGUCCCGGUGCAUCAUAGGUCAUUUCAUUCAUUAUGUGGAUAACAACAAAGAGGGAAUCAUAACAUUACCCUACUCUUAAAGGCCUUGGUUUUAUAGUCGCGGAAGUCUUGGUACGCCUUGUCGUCGGGGAAACCUUCACGGCCGUCAGCAUCGAAUUCCA
rnacentral:lncRNA from 1 species